GGUUUCUUAAGUCUGAUGUGAAAGCCCACGGCUUAACCGUGGAGGGUCAUUGGAAACUGGGAAACUUGAGUACAGAAGAGGAAUGUGGAACUCCAUGUGUAGCGGUGGAAUGCGUAGAUAUAUGGAAGAACACCAGUGGCGAAGGCGACAUUCUGGUCUGUUACUGACACUGAGGCUCGAAAGCGUGGGGAGCAGACAGGAUUAGAUACCCUGGUAGUCCAUGCCGUAAACGAUGAGUGCUAAGUGUUGGAGGGUUUCCGCCCUUCAGUGCUGCAGCUAACGCAUUAAGCACUCCGCCUGGGGAGUACGACCGCAAGGUUGAAACUCAAAGGAAUUGACGGGGGCCCGCACAAGCGGUGGAGCAUGUGGUUUAAUUCGAAGCAACGCGAAGAACCUUACCAGGUCUUGACAUCCUUUGACCACUCUAGAGAUAGAGCUUUCCCUUCGGGGACAAAGUGACAGGUGGUGCAUGGUUGUCGUCAGCUCGUGUCGUGAGAUGUUGGGUUAAGUCCCGCAACGAGCGCAACCCUUAUUAUUAGUUGCCAGCAUUCAGUUGGGCACUCUAGUGAGACUGCCGGUGAUAAACCGGAGGAAGGUGGGGAUGACGUCAAAUCAUCAUGCCCCUUAUGACCUGGGCUACACACGUGCUACAAUGGAUGGUACAACGAGUCGCAAAACCGCGAGGUUAAGCUAAUCUCUUAAAGCCAUUCUCAGUUCGGAUUGUAGGCUGCAAUUCGCCUACAUGAAGCCGGAAUCGCUAGUAAUCGCGGAUCAGAACGCCGCGGUGAAUACGUUCCCGGGCCUUGUACACACCGCCCGUCACACCACGAGAGUUUGUAACACCCAAAGUCGGUGAGGUAACCUUCGGGAGCCAGCCGCCUAAGGUGGGACAGAUAAUUGGGGUG
rnacentral:rRNA from 1 species